rnacentral:rRNA from 1 species
GACGAACGCUGGCUGCGUGCCUAAUACAUGCAAGUCGAACGCAGUGGCGGACGGGUGAGUAAUGUCUGGGAACUGCCUAUUAGAGGGGGAUAACUAUUGGAAACGAUAGCUAAUACCGCAUACUAGUAGCUGGACCUGCGUUGUAUUAGCUAGUAGGUAGGGUAAUGGCCUACCUAGGCGACGAUACAUAGCCGACCUGAGAGGGUGAUCGGCCACACUGGGACUGAGACACGGCCCAGACUACUACGGGAGGCAGCAGUAGGGAAUCUUCGGCAAUGGGGGGAACCCUGACCGAGCAACGCCGCGUGAGUGAAGAAGGGUUUCGGAUCGUAAAGCUCUGUUGUUAAGGAAGCGGUACUUAACCAGAAAGGGACGGCUAACUACGUGCCAGCAGCCGCGGUAAUAC